rnacentral:misc_RNA from 1 species
UUGGCAAUGCAUUGAUGCAGGUAUAUUUGGACUCUAUUUUCAUUUAAUUCCUUUUAAUGUUGUCAGACAAUGUUGCACCUCUAGUGAUUUGCAUUCCAAAUCACUCAAUCUGGAUUGUUUAUGUCAUUAGCAAUUUGGAAUGUUGAAGUUAGGAUUUUGAAACACAAACAAUAAUGAGUACAUAAUCAAAAUCCUAAUCACACAAAUUUGAGAUAGUUUUGUUAUUAUUAUCAUUAUUAUGGUGUAAGUUUGGGGAUUUUGUUUUAUUUUAUUUUUUUUAUAGUGUUGAAGUAUGUUG